UUGAUGACAGCAGCUGCCUGGAGGCGGCGGUGGAUGGAUGACACAUUGCAAAGAAGGUUGUUCUCUGAAGCCUUUUGAAUGAGGGAACUCGGUCAUUUCAUCUGCAUCAUCAUUGCAGGUUCCUAUUACACAGAGAGUGAAGUUCAAAUUUGUUGGAUUGAUUGGUGUGUCCCCGAUGGUACCACCGCUAGUUUACCGCAGGAUGAUGGGUAUUUCGGAAAAACACCUACAGUUAGUAAACAUGGCUAUGCUGAUUAGCUAAUUAUGUACACAAAUAGUAUCUCUUCUCUAACAUGAUCACAUAAAAAUGGUUAAUUGUUUAGUUUGCACUAAGAAAUCUCCUUAUGGCAAUUACUGUCUGAUGCAGGGUCUCCCGAAGGCGGAAAUCAAGCAUGUGCAAUGUAUUUCAUUGUCACAAUAAUUGCUUCUUAUUUCGGGUACUCAAAUUAUUGUUUCUUUGUAUGGGAGUAUGCAUUUAAUUUACCUACUGAUUUUAAAAGGUUGCUUUCAACCAUGCACUUCUAUGCUAUUGUGAAAUUGAGUAGGACUUAAACUGUAACUUUAGUUUUCAUUCACUGUCGGUGCAAUCUUAUUGAACUGCUGGUUAUAGUUUACUACAGGAAAUCCAAUACCCCUUCUAAAAUUCAUGCCACACUGUUGCAAUGAGUUGGCGGUGGUUAAUAUAUGAGCUCAAUAGCACUAUGGGCCUCAAGAAUACCACACUUGAGGUUGCUAAUAUACUUGAUUCAAAUAUCAGAAACCAGUCAUUUGGA